AACGCACAUUGCGCCUUGUGGUAUUCCGCAAGGCAUGCCUGUUUGAGCGUCAGCAAAAACCUCAAGUAGAUUGGUCUUUUUUUUAAGACUUAAUCUAUCUUGGAAUUUUUAUCAAGCAAGCAAUUUCCAUUUUGGGGUUUUGCUGCUUGGAAAAUCAUAAGAUGGUCAAAAGUUUUUUUCUUUUACCAAACGUAAUAAGGUUUUUUGUUAAUCUAAUUCGUUUGAUAUAAUAAAAAGAAUAAGAACUCCAUCUUUUGAACCCACUUAUAAUUUUUUUGCUUGACUUGACCUCAAAUCAGGUAGGGAUACCCGCUGAACUUAA
rnacentral:misc_RNA from 1 species